GGCGAACGGGUGAGUAACACGUGAGUAACCUGCCUUACACAAGGGGAUAGCCUCUGGAAACGGAGAAUAAUACCCUAUAAAGUCUAAUCAGCCCAUGCUGGAAAGACCAAAGAUUUAUCGGUGUAAGAUGGACUUGCGUCUGAUUAGCUAGUUGGUGAGAUAAAAGCCCACCAAGGCGACGAUCAGUAGCCGGCUUGAGAGAGUGUACGGCCACAUUGGGACUGAGACACGGCCCAAACUCCUACGGGAGGCAGCAGUGGGGAAUUUUGCACAAUGGGGGAAACCCUGAUGCAGCGACGCCGCGUGAUUUAAAGGCCUUCGGGUUGUAAAAAUCUUUUUUAUGGGAUGAAAAUGACAGUACCAUAAGAAUAAGGUCCGGCUAAAUACGUGCCAGCAGCCGCGGUAAUACGUAUGGACCGAGCGUUGUCCGGAAUCAUUGGGCGUAAAGGGUACGUAGGCGGCCUAGUAAGUUAGAAGUGAAAUAAUAUAGCUCAACUAUAUAAAGCUUUUAAAACUGUUAGGCUUGAGAGAUGAAGGGAAAGUGGAAUUCCUAGUGUAGCGGUGAAAUGCGCAGAUAUUAGGAAGAAUACCGGUNGGCGAAGGCGACUUUCUGGUCAUCAUCCUGACGCUGAGGUACGAAAGCGUGGGUAGCAAACAAGGAUUAGAUACCCUGGUAGUC
rnacentral:rRNA from 1 species